ensembl:lncRNA
GGUUUGGGAUGUGGCCUGUUGUCGAGUGCCAGGUUCAGAGCCCGGCAGGUGGCUGGCCAGACCCUGACAGUGUUCAGUGAGGAGGGGCUGGACUGGGCUGGACUGGGCUCAUCCGGCUAGCUUAGCUUGUUCGGAAAUGCACCGUGACACCGGUAAGCUAUAACCAUUCUGCCUGUGUUAUAAGCGCUUUAUAUCCGUGUAGAUAACUCCGGGUUACACUCUGUUGCAUAUUAACGCUGUGUUUUGGGGCUCGCGCACGAUUAUGAGACGCCAGUGUAAGUCAGCUGUGCGCGCGGCUUAGCACGCGUGCUGUAAACAAAACAACUUCAUUUCUGACAAAAAGGCUGGAGGAAGGAAAGUCACUGCAGUGUGAGGACCUCUGAGGCGUUUGAGAGGAAUUCACGGUGUGGUGUUAGACUCUCAACACGAAAACAAGCUCGCUGCUGGUUAGCUGAUUGUUUAGCCCGUUAGCCGGUUUGUUAGCAUAGCUCUAUUUAAGGCCAUGUCUGGUGGGCGCUGUUGUUCUGCUGGAUAAACAGCUCUAGCUUUUAACUGAUUUAACAAUAUUGACAGUUUUAUGAAUAUCAUCCUUUUAUGCACUGAGCUGUGAUUUUAGAGAAAGGCUGCUCUGGUGCUUGUUAUCCACUCAGUGGUUUUAGUUACUGCUAUUUUCUGGGAAAUUAUCCACAACAACAACAAGGCAGAAAUUGGAAACUUGUGCUGUUAUGGUUGCCAGGUUUAUGUGACCAAAUCUGUCCCAAAAUGAGUUCAAUACAAAAAAACACCACUUAAGUGUUUAAACUGUCAAGAGGUGAAGCAUUUGUUAUAGUUUCUGUCACAUCUUUCCAUGAACAAAAGACCCUGAAAGGAUCUUCUCUCAUCCCUGAUGACCCCUGUUAAAUACACAUGUAGGGAUGAACAACUUAUAUAUACACACACACACACACACACACACACACACACAUUUAUGUAAUACAUUAAAUUGUGAUUUUAAAAAGAAGCUAAGCAACUCCAAGUCUUCAAAAAUGUUUCUGAACAUGAGCCAUUUUCCAUGUUGUCUAAGCAGGGUUGCCAGAUGUCAGAAAAUAUCCUGUUAAAUGGCUCUUAAAGCUCACCUAUUAUGGUUUUGAAACGUGCCUAAUUUUUUUUAAAGGUCUCAUACAAUAGAUUUACAUGCAUCCGAGGUCAAAAAACACUUUAAUGUGCUCAUAAUGUAAACUCCAGCAUUAACUUUUUUUCCCAGUGUCACAAACGACCUUAAAUGAUCUGUUCUAAAGGAUUCGUUCUAAACUCCUACUUUCACAAAGCAUACUCUGCUCUGAUUGGUCAGAUGUCCCAGUCUGUUAGUGUUUCAAAAAGGUAACGCCCACUACCAUAACGAGUUUCAGCGACGUCUGUUUGCGAGCAGCCAAUGAAGACGAGAGGCGGGUUUUUUGUUACAAACCUACAUAGAUUAGUACAGGAAGUAAGUCUGGAAUUAUGUAGGUUAGUACAGGAAGUAAGUCUGGAAUUACGUAGGUUAGUACAGGAAGUAAGUCUGGACUUACGUAGGUUAGUACAGGAAGUAAGUCUGGAAUUACGUAGGUUAGUACAGGAAGUAAGUCUGGAAUUACAUAGGUUAGUACAGGAAGUAAGUCUGGAAUUACGUAGGUUAGUACAGGAAGUAAGUCUGGAAUUACGUAGGCUAGUACAGGAAGUAAAGUCUGGAAUUACGUAGGCUAGUACAGGAAGUAAGUCUGGAAUUACGUAGGCUAGUACAGGAAGUAAGUCUGGAAUUACGUAGGCUAGUACAGGAGGUAAAGUCUGGAAUUACGUAGGUUAGUACAGGAGGUAAAGUCUGGAAUUACAUAGGUUAGUACAGGAAGUAAAGUCUGGAAUUACGUAGGCUAGUACAGGAAGUAAAGUCUGGAAUUACGUAGGCUAGUACAGGAAGUAAAGUCUGGAAUUACGUAGGCUAGUACAGGAAGUAAGUCUGGAAUUACGUAGGCUAGUACAGGAAGUAAGUCUGGAAUUACGUAGGCUAGUACAGGAAGUAAGUCUGGAAUUACGUAAGCUAGUACGUAGGUUAGUUUCAGCUGUUAAGAAUCAGUUCCUUCUUUUGGGAGUCUCUGUUGUGCGCUUUGAUUUUUGAAACCUUUUCAGACUUUUUACAUUCACAAACAGCUCUAUAGCACACUACAUGAAAGGUAGUAUUUGAAAAAAUAUUAUAGGUGCAACUUUAAGCAUUGAAAAACAUAUUUUUUUUCUCUGUGAAACAGGUGCACCAUGGUACACACUUUUUUGAUGUGUAAUAUCUCCAGUAUGCUUUUUUUGGUCAUCUCCUGCUAUAGUCCACUCCAUCCAUAACCUCCCUCUCUCACUCCCAAUCUUAUAUAUAAGUAUAUAUUACAACACCAGUGAUUCUGUACAUAUACACGGUCUGCACUUACACUUUCCUUUUGUUUCCUAUAUUGGCUUUAUAUUGCUGUGGUUUCAUCUCAGCACAGGUUUAGUGUGUAAAGCUCGACUAGGACCUAAAUUACACAAGGGCUGUUAAAUGAUUAUUUUAUGAGUAAGAAUAAGAGUUUUUUAAGCCAAUGUGGUCUUUGAAGACAAAAGAGUGUUGUGUUACCUCAGAGACGUUGGGCUGAGUACAUAACCAGCAUUCAGAAAAACAGUUUUGCACUGUUGGAAGUGGAUAUUUUUGUGAGAUUUAGAAGGUAAACUAGUGUAGUUUAAGACAGUUGCCUCCAAGGCUUUAAUUGUAAGUGAUGACUGGUGAGAGCAUCGGUGGUGGACAUUAAAUUUGACUUUAUAUCAUUGUAAAUGUGAGUAUCACAGUGCUGAACCAAGUCAUGUUGAUGUCUUAAUGGCAGCAUAUAUAGGUUGGGUCACAAGCUUGGUCCUAGGAUGACUACAGCCAUGAGAUUUAGGCUACGUCCACAUUAAUCCAGAUCAAUUUGAAAAUGCAUCCUUUUCUGUACGUUUUGGCCUUCUGUUCACACUGAGACUCAGUUUU